rnacentral:rRNA from 1 species
AAAGCUCGUAGUUGAACCUUGGGCCUGGCUGGCCGGUCCGCCUCACCGCGUGUACUGGUCCGGCCGGGCCUUUCCCUCUGUGGAACCCCAUGCCCUUCACUGGGUGUGGUGGGGAAACAGGACUUUUACUGUGAAAAAAUUAGAGUGCUCCAGGCAGGCCUAUGCUCGAAUACAUUAGCAUGGAAUAAUAGAAUAGGACGUGUGGUUCUAUUUUGUUGGUUUCUAGGACCGCCGUAAUGAUUAAUAGGGACAGUCGGGGGCAUCAGUAUUCAAUUGUCAGAGGUGAAAUUCUUGGAUUUAUUGAAGACUAACUACUGCGAAAGCAUUUGCCAAGGAUGUUUUCAUUAAUCAGGAACGAAAGUUAGGGGAUCGAAGACGAUCAGAUACCGUCGUAGUCUUAACCAUAAACUAUGCCGACUAGGGAUCGGACGGUGUUAUUUUUUGACCCGUUCGGCACCUUACGAGAAAUCAAAGUGCUUGGGCUCCAGGGGGAGUAUGGUCGCAAGGCUGAAACUUAAAGAAAUUGACGGAAGGGCACCACCAGGGGUGGAGCCUGCGGCUUAAUUUGACUCAACACGGGGAAACUCACCAGGUCCAGACACAAUGAGGAUUGACAGAUUGAGAGCUCUUUCUUGAUUUUGUGGGUGGUGGUGCAUGGCCGUUCUUAGUUGGUGGAGUGAUUUGUCUGCUUAAUUGCGAUAACGAACGAGACCUUAACCUGCUAAAUAGCCCGUAUUGCUUUGGCAGUACGCUGGCUUCUUAGAGGGACUAUCGGCUC